rnacentral:rRNA from 1 species
GAUGAACGCUGGCGGCGUGCUUAACACAUGCAAGUCGAGCGAAGCACUUGAAUUCGAUUCUUCGGAUGAAGAUUCAUUUGACUGAGCGGCGGACGGGUGAGUAACGCGUGGGUAACCUGCCUCAUACAGGGGGAUAACAGUUAGAAAUGACUGCUAAUACCGCAUAAGACCACGGUACCGCAUGGUACAGUGGUAAAAACUCCGGUGGUAUGAGAUGGACCCGCGUCUGAUUAGGUAGUUGGUGAGGUAACGGCUCACCAAGCCGACGAUCAGUAGCCGACCUGAGAGGGUGACCGGCCACAUUGGGACUGAGACACGGGCCCAGACUCCUACGGGAGCAGCAGUGGGGAAUAUUGCACAAUGGGCAAAGCCUGAUGCAGCGACGCCGCGUGAAGGAUGAAGUAUUUCGGG